GCUACCUCUUUCUGCGGUGAGGUCGUGUGAACCGGGUCAGGUCCUAACGGAAGCAGCCCUAAACAUUGGCAUUCAGGUGCGGACGGAGGUAGCAUC
rnacentral:SRP_RNA from 1 species